AGCGAACGCUGGCGGCAGGCCUAACACAUGCAAGUCGAACGAACUCUUCGGAGUUAGUGGCGGACGGGUGAGUAACCCGUGGGAACGUGCCUUUAGGUUCGGAAUAACUCAGGGAAACUUGUGCUAAUACCGAAUGUGCCCUUCGGGGGAAAGAUUUAUCUCCUUUAGAGCGGCCCGCGUCUGAUUAGCUAGUUGGUGAGGUAAAGGCUCACCAAGGCGCCGAUCAGUAGCUGGUCUGAGAGGAUGAUCAGCCACAUUGGGACUGAGACGCGGCCCAAACUCCUACGGGAGGCAGCAGUGGGGAAUCUUGCGCAAUGGGCGAAAGCCUGACGCAGCCAUGCCGCGUGAAUGAUGAAGGUCUUAGGAUUGUAAAAUUCUUUCAACGGGGACGAUAAUGACGGUACCCGGAGAAGAAGCCCCGGCUAACUUCGUG
rnacentral:rRNA from 1 species